rnacentral:ribozyme from 1 species
UAAAUGUUAAAUGAUAUAUUAUUUUUUCUUUUUUUGUUCUUUCUUCAUUUGUUUUCUCAUCAUUUGUUUCACUUGU